rnacentral:rRNA from 1 species
UACGUAGGUGGCGAGCGUUGUCCGGAUUUACUGGGCGUAAAGAGCGCGCAGGCGGUCGUACAAGUCGCGUGUGAAAGCCCCCGGCUCAACUGGGGAGGGUCACGCGAUACUGUUCGACUCGAAGGCAGGAGAGGGAAGCGGAAUUCCCGGUGUAGUGGUGAAAUGCGUAGAUAUCGGGAGGAACACCAGUGGCGAAGGCGGCUCUCUGGGACGGUACUGACGCUGAGACGCGAAAGCGUGGGGAGCGAACAGG